AAAGGAAUAGACGGGGGCCCGCACAAGCAGCGGAGCAUGUGGCUUAAUUCGAAGCAACGCGAAGAACCUUACCAGGGCUUAACUAUGAGGUGAAGCGGCGGAAACGUCGUGGCCGAAAGGAGCCUCACUAGGUGGUGCAUGGCUGUCGUCAGCUCGUGUCGUGAGAUGUUGGGUUAAGUCCCGCAACGAGCGCAACCCUCGUCGCAUGUUGCCAGCGGUUCGGCCGGGCACCCUUGCGAGACCGCCGGCGUCAAGCCGGAGGAAGGUGGGGACGACGUCAAGUCAUCAUGCCCCUUAUGUCCUGGGCUGCACACGUGCUACAAUGGUCGGCACAAUGGGCUGCCACUGCGCGAGCAGGAGCUAAUCCCUAAAGCCGGCCCCAGUUCGGAUUGGAGGCUGCAACCCGCCUCCAUGAAGUCGGAGUUGCUAGUAAUCGCGGAUCAGCACGCCGCGGUGAAUACGUUCCCGGGCCUUGUACACACCGCCCGU
rnacentral:rRNA from 1 species